ensembl:lincRNA 1700012E03Rik RIKEN cDNA 1700012E03 gene
GAAGCAGGAAGCAGAAAAUACUCUCCAUUCAUCUUCAUACAGCUUGCCUACUGCCAAGUAGACAGUCAAUAAACAAGGAAAUAAUUAGUUGCACGGCUCAUUAGGAAGGGACGUAUUCCAAGAACAACAAAAAUCAAGUGGGAAGGGGAAUGAAGGCUCAGAGCAGGGGAUUACUUUCCAUCCAGGUGGCUGUGAUAGGAAUGGAGGCUGUGAGCAACUGCCAGGGGGGAAGGGACAUUCUAAGACAAUGCAGUCCCUGGUGCAACAGCCCAUGUGGCAGGACAUACCUGAAACACACGUGGCAUGGAAAGGCAGAUGUGGAAGCUGUCCCUGGUAGUGGAGCAAGGUGUCCAAGCCACCCAGCUAGCAGGCAGUAGAACUCACACCUGCCUUGUCCUGAGAGGUCUUCCUGUUGGAAGCAUUGUCAAGGCUCAUCAAGUGCACUGAAACUGAGGGAAGGUCUGUCAGGCUGGGAACCCAGGGCACAGUCAAGGAUGUAAGCUGGGACUCUGAGGUCUGCCUCCGAGUUCUGUGUGUCCUGCAGCAACCACAUUCCUGUUUCUCCCAUGUGCUAUUCUGCUGGACAUUUUUCUCUUUGAUUUGAUGGCUAUAAAAUUAAUCUCAUCUGACAGGUGAGGAGGGGUUUCCCCUGCCAUGGUCCCCAAGCUUCCUGGAGAGUAAAUAUUGAUUUUGGGAACUGGGGUGGAGGGCAGAUUCACUUGUGAAUCGAUUCUGAGUCAAACCACAUCUUGAGUGGCAUCCUGCGAUGAAGGAUGGUACCUUGUCCUUUUGGCUGGCACACUGAGUGUGAGAGGAGGCGGGGGCUCUCCACAGACCACCAGAAAAAAGUUAGGAGCUCCACACAGCAUCCUUGAUGAACGAAUGCUGGGCCUACCCUGGAAUGAGGUUGUCUGAUGAAGGGACUGUUGGCAGACCCUUCUGAGUAACAGGCACAGGGUUUGGCUCUGUGAGGACUGUGUGAGAGGCUUCAGUCAGCUGAGCCCUGUGCCCUGAACUGGAGCACAAGUCGUCUUAUACACCCAGUCUGCUUAGGAAAGAAGCUAUGUGUCUCCAGUACUCACGUGGGUCCAAGCUGCCUGUUUUCUGUUCUGGAGGCCAGUCUUCAGCUUCCCUGGAAAGACUAGGGUGUCCUUACCUGGAUGGCUUGUUUCAGUAGUACCAUCACUAAAUGGCUCUCAAGGAGACUUGCAUGUCCCAGGAGUGGAGAACAAAGAGACAAGAGCCCAAACACACCUUAGGGUGAAAUGAAGUCUCACUGCUAUAGCAACUCCAAACUGCAGCUCAGACCUAAAGCUGAGAUGCCUGGCUUAUUGAACAGAUGCUGAGCCAUUCCACUGGUAAAAAGCUCAAGUAUAU